GAUGAACGCUAGCGGCAGGCUUAAUACAUGCAAGUCGAGGGGCAACAGGGGUAGCAAUACCUGCUGGCGACCGGCAAACGGGUGCGGAACACGUACAGAACCUUCCUUUAAGCGGGGGAUAGCCCAUAGAAAUGUGGAUUAAUACCCCAUAGUAAUACUGGCUGGCAUCACUAGAUAUUUAAAGAUUUAUCACUUAAAGAUGGCUGUGCGUCUGAUUAGGUAGUUGGNGUAGGUAAAGGCUCACCAAGCCAUCGAUCAGUAACUGGUGUGAGAGCACGACCAGUCACACGGGCACUGAGACACGGGCCCGACUCCUACGGGAGGCAGCAGUAAGGAAUAUUGGUCAAUGGACGCAAGUCUGAACCCAGCCAUGCCGCGUGGAGGAUGAAGGUCCUCUGGAUUGUAAACUUCUUUUAUCUGGGAA
rnacentral:rRNA from 1 species